GACGAACGCUGGCGGCGUGCUUAACACAUGCAAGUCGAACGAUGAAGAAGAGCUUGCUCUUCGGAUUAGUGGCGAACGGGUGAGUAACACGUGACUAACCUGCCCCUUUCUCUGGGAUAACGCUCCGAAAGGAGUGCUAAUACCGGAUACUCACAUCGAGGCACAUGCCUUGAUGUGGAAAGUUUUUCGGAAAGGGAUGGAGUCGCGGCCUAUCAGCUUGUUGGUGAGGUAACGGCGCACCAAGGCGACGACGGGUAGCCGGCCUGAGAGGGGGACCGGCCACACUGGGACUGAGACACGGCCCAGACUCCUACGGGAGGCAGCAGUGGGGAAUAUUGCACAAUGGGCGAAAGCCUGAUGCAGCGACGCCGCGUGAGGGAUGAAGGUCUUCGGAUUGUAAACCUCUUUCAGUAGGGACGAAGCGAAAGUGACGGUACCUAAAGAAGAAGCACCGGCUAACUACGUGCCAGCAGCCGCCGUAA
rnacentral:rRNA from 1 species